rnacentral:lncRNA from 1 species
AUGACUGACACUUCUUAUCUCCUCCCCAAACCUUACCAUCUGUGGCUGGAUUAUCACAUUGUGCAGUCUGCAACCACACUGCAUUUCUUCAUUCGAACAGUAUGGAUUUCUGGGACACUUCACAGAAACAAAGAAGUAAAUAAAUACACAAACAAACAGACAAAUAGUCGUGAUAUUUUAGGUCAGGAAGGAAGGAAGGAAGGAAGAAAGAAAAACAGAAAAAAAGAAAAAGAAAGAAAGAAAGAAGAGAGAAAGAAAAAGAGAGGAAGGAAGAAAGAAAAACAGAAAAAAGAAAGAAAGAAAGAAGAGAGAAAGAAAAAGAGAGGAAGGAAGGAAAGAAGGCAAGCAAGGAGAAAGGGAGAGAGAGAAAGAAAGAGAGAGAAAAGAAAAGAACAGAACGUAUGUGGCACUUUCCCACUUCUCACAAAGGAAAGUGUACAUGAUACAGCGGACAAAAUUGCAGUGAUAUUUCAUGUUAAUCUAAGAGUUAGUGCUCUCUCUCCCUGUGGCAGAGAGUAGUAUUAUAAUUGAGAAUAAAGAUAAAAAU